GCUUCCUACGGGGCGCAGCAGUGGGGAAUAUUGGGCAAUGGAGGAAACUCUGACCCAGCAAUGCCGCGUGAAUGAAGAAGGUCUUCGGAUUGUGAAGUUCUUUAGUCAGGGAAGAAGUCAAUGGCGGUACCUGAAGAAUAAGCUCCGGCUAACUACGUGCCAGCAGCCGCGGUAAUACGUAGGGAGCAAGCGUUGUUCGGAAUGACUGGGCGUAAAGGGUGCGUAGGCGGUU
rnacentral:rRNA from 1 species